GUGCUUCAGCAGCACAUAUUCUAAAAUUGGAACAAUACAGAGAAGAUUAUUAAUACGGUCCCUGCACAGGGAUGAUGUGCAAAUGCAUGAAGUGUUCCACAUUUUU